rnacentral:rRNA from 1 species
CCAAUCAAACCGGAGAUAGCUGUCUCCCGAAGCUAUUUAGGUAGCGCCUCGUGAACUCAUCUUCGGGGUAGAGCACUGUUCGGCUAGGGUCAUCCGACUUACCAACCCGAUGCAAACUACGAAUACCGAAGAAUGUUAUCACGGGAGACACACGGCGGGUGCUAACGUCCGUCGUGAAGAGGGAAACAACCCAGACCGCCAGCUAAGGUCCCAAAGUCAUGGUUAAGUGGGAAACGAUGUGGGAAGGCACAGACAGCCAGGAUGUUGGCUUAGAAGCAGCCAUCAUUUAAAGAAAGCGUAAUAGCUCACUGGUCGAGUCGGCCUGCGCGGAAGAUGUAACGGGGCUAAACCAUGCACCGAAGCUGCGGCAGCGACACUAUGUGUUGUUGGGUAGGG